AUACGGAGGGUCCAAGCGUUAUCCGGAUUCAUUGGGUUUAAAGGGUGCGCAGGCGGGCUUGUAAGUCAGUGGUGAAAUACUGCCGCUUAACGGUAGAACUGCCAUUGAUACUGCAAGUCUUGAAUAUGGUUGAGGUAGGCGGAAUGUGUUGUGUAGCGGUGAAAUGCAUAGAUAUGACACAGAACGCCAAUUGCGAAGGCAGCUUACUAAGCCAUUAUUGACGCUGAGGCACGAAAGCGUGGGGAGCGAACAGGAUUAGAAACCCGAGUAGUCC
rnacentral:rRNA from 1 species